UGGGGAAUUUUGCACAAUGGAGGAAACUCUGAUGCAGCGACGCCGCGUGAGUGAUGAAGAUCUUCGGAUUGUAAAACUCUGUCCUUAGUGAAGAUAAUGACAGUAACUGAGAAGCAAGCCCUGGCUAAAUACGUGCCAGCAGCCGCGGUAAUACGUAUGGGGCAAGCGUUGUCCGGAAUUAUUGGGCGUAAAGGGUACGUAGGCGGUUUAAUAAGUCCUAAUUAAAAGGCUAUGGCUCAACCAUAGUAUGGUUAGGAAACUGUUGAACUUGAGUAGAUGAGGGGAAAGUGGAAUUCCAUGUGUAGCGGUGAAAUGCGUAGAUAUAUGGAGGAACACCAAUGGCGAAGGCAACUUUCUGGAAUCAAACUGACGCUGAGGUACGAAGGCGUGGGGAGCAAACAGG
rnacentral:rRNA from 1 species